rnacentral:tRNA from 1 species
CAAGAGGUAACUCAGCUGGUAGAGUGCAGGACUUGCAUUCCUGAGGCUCCUUGU